CAGUCAUUACCAAGGCUUUUAGAAUGCAGUUUCUCACUUGCUAUGGUCAUGACCACAAAAAAUUUUCCCACUAGGUUUUCUGCACGCUGCUUUGUUAGCAGUUAAUCUGGGGACAGUA
rnacentral:snoRNA from 1 species